AGUGAACGCUGGCGGUAGGCCUAACACAUGCAAGUCGAACGGCAGCACAGUAAGAGCUUGCUCUUACGGGUGGCGAGUGGCGGACGGGUGAGGAAUACAUCGGAAUCUACUUUUUCGUGGGGGAUAACGUAGGGAAACUUACGCUAAUACCGCAUACGACCUACGGGUGAAAGUAGGGGAUCUUCGGACCUUGCGCGAUUGAAUGAGCCGAUGUCGGAUUAGCUAGUUGGCGGGGUAAAGGCCCACCAAGGCGACGAUCCGUAGCUGGUCUGAGAGGAUGAUCAGCCACACUGGAACUGAGACACGGUCCAGACUCCUACGGGAGGCAGCAGUGAGGAAUAUUGGACAAUGGGCGCAAGCCUGAUCCAGCCAUACCGCGUGGGUGAAGAAGGCCUUCGGGUUGUAAAGCCCUUUUGUUGGGAAAGAAAAGCAGCAGGUUAAUACCCCGCUGUUCUGACGGUACCCAAAGAAUAAGCACCGGCUAACUUCGUG
rnacentral:rRNA from 1 species